CUAAAAUGUCCUCCUUCCACACUAAUACUCUUUGUCCCCACACCCUGCCUUAAGGCUCUUCAUAGCCCACAUCCUAAUCUGAAAUGAUUGAAGAUGUUUGUGUGUGUGUGCCUGUGUGUGUGUGUGCAUAUAUAUGUGUGUGUGUGUAUAUAUAUAUGUUUAUUGCUGUCUCAUCCACUAGAACACACGCUCUGUAAGGCAUGUUUUGCCUGUUAUUGCAUGCUCAGACUCUAGAAUAGCACCUGGCACAUAGUAAGUGGUCAGUUAAUACUAAUGGUAUAAAUACAAAGAGCUGGGAAUGCAGAGAUGAGAAGAAAUCAAGGGGCUUAUAGUUCUGUCCUUGAUCUGAUGGGAUUUGCCUCAAAAGGAAAGCAAGAAUAAUUAAUAACUCAAUGCUUAUGCUUCAGUGGAAAAGACUCAGACACUCAAGUUAUUUCAUUUUCAUAAGAAGGCUUGCCCAAGCUUGAGGAUCUGGUUCCUGAGGUCUUCUUUGAGCCAAGACUCUUGGUGUGAGAUGUAUGAGGACCAGGGUCCACAGAUGAGUCAGACCCUGUGUUGUUGACACCUAAGAAGAUGCUCUGUCCACAGUUUACAUUUCAGCCAUUUGGAUUUCUGAACACUCCUGCUUUCCCCUUGGAGUAUUUUA
rnacentral:lncRNA from 1 species